rnacentral:lncRNA from 1 species
UCGGCCAUGAAAACAUGUGCUAAAGGUCACGGGAGCCCGAAAACGACCACACCGGUCACCGAGGUUGAAAACAUGCGGGAUGGUACGAAGCCGUGAAAAUGGCCUCCGGACCCGUCUUCGGCCAAGAAUACAUGUGCUAUAGGUCACGGGAGCCCGAAUACGGACACACCGGCAACCGAGGUCGAAAACGUGUGCUAAAGGUCACGGGAGCCCGAA